rnacentral:misc_RNA from 1 species
UAGUAUUUUACUAUUUAAUAAUGGUAUAGAAGUGGGCAAAGUACUAUUAUGAGCCAAACUAAAGCUUAUGAAGAAACUACACUUUCACCAUGUUUAGUUUCUCCAUAAGUUUAAAAGUAGUCAAAUCACACCAAUGCCACUGGUGAAGCUGAAACUAUUACAAAACAGUUGAUCGUCACUUACUACAUAAGGUAAGCCGUACAUCACAGCGGCGUACUUCCUUCCGAAUUUGUCUACGGCAUAACCACAAAAAGGUGUUGACAAAAACCCUCCAAUGUUUGCCAAACUUCCCAAUAAAGAAAAUUCACUGCUAGUCAUUGGUGAAUCCAAAACAGUCUCGUUGGACCUAAAAAGUGAGUAUGUGUACGAUGGCCAAGCAUAUAUGAAUCCUGUUAGAGCCGUUAAGUUUGCAACUGGAAAGAGAAAAACAUAUUUUAAGCUUGUGCAGCUGAGGUAAGUUUGUUGUUAAGAUUUGUUUGAGGCGUAAUCUUUUAGAUGUCAUAUUAAAAUGUGCCUAUUUUUACCACGCUUUUAUUAGCUUGGGUUGUAUGUGUGUAUGUAUGUACGUAAUGGAAUCUUUGAGUAUAAUUUUCACCAACUUCCAGAAAAUUAAUUUGAAACUUUGCACACGUAUCAAGCACCGAUGACAAUGCAAUAAUACAAUAACAGUUUCCCAAUAUCCUUAUUAGGACCGCCAGGAUUAAUAAAUUCUUUCGUGGAUCCUCU